CUGGAGGAUUGAGGAAACACCAUACAAUCAAGCAGUAUCAGACACCAGGAGGAUCCUAUGACCCAAAUAUUGCAGUAUUUUGCUAGUGCAAAAGAGCCAGAAAGUGAAUCUUUGAACCAACCCUGAUGCUGGCCAGUCAUAUUUCAUCAUCCAUGCUGGGAUCAAGACAAAAAUAAACAGCAUCAAUGCAGCCAAAUCCUGCAGUUCCCGAGUCAGCCAAAGCUUCCACUAAAUUCAGCAAGUUUUGACGGAGCAAAGACUGCUGGAUCUUCCCUAAAACUUCUGUGUCUUGUGCAAUAGUGGUGCAAGUUCUGGCCCUAAAUGACAAGCAUCACAUUACCAAAAUGAAUUCUCACUGACUGGUCAUACAUUACUCCUGGGGGAAUUGUGUGCUACUGUGCACAUGCAGAAUUCAUGUCCCCCACAGAUUUUUUUGCUUCCCCACGGGGAAAAAAAAGACUUUCUGAAGGGGAAGCAAAGGGAAGCCUCAAAAGCAGUCAUGCACCCCUCCCAAGCAGUGCUGGCACAUUGAUUCAGGCAUCCGGAGCAGCCAGCUGAGAGGUAAAUCACUGCAGGGAGGAGGUUGCGGGACUGGGGAUGUCCCAGCCAGUGGCUCCUAUCCUGAGCUGGACUCAGCUUCUCUUCCUCUGCAAGGAACAUCCCAGGCUGGGUCAGACCCACCUCUAUAAAUCCCCAGCUGCAGGGAGCUCCGCAUCCCCUUCCCCCAUUGCUCCUCAGCCACAGGGGGAGGGGUCACUGCAUGAGGAACUGCUCCCUCAUCUGCCCAACUCCCAUGUAUCUGGACCUUCCCAUACCCACACUACCCCACCGAGCCUCACCCCCCCCAUCUAGAACCCCUACCCAACCAAGCCUCACCCCCUGCAUCUGGAACCCCUGCACCCGGAUCACACCUGUGCCCCCCCCCCCCCCGGACCAAGCCCAACACCUUCUGCAUUCAGAUCCCCACCAAGCCCCUCCCCCCUGCACCUAGACCACCCUCCACUGAGCCCCACCCCACUGAGCAAAAUAUUGCGUGCAGAAUUUUUAAUAUUUUUAUGCCCAAAUUCCUCAUGAGUAGUACAUUAAGAGCAUAACACUUUUGCCUAACAACUUCUCAGCAUCAACGUUCACACUUUAACCAUUUUGUGAAUAUCCUAUACAGCACAAAAAUGAACAGGGAAAACCAGAUGCAUAGUUUGAUUAUAUCCACUUCAAAAUAGACAAGCAUCUUUUCUGUCAGAACAGCAGCAGCAAAAGACAAACAGCAGAAAUUAUUCGGAGGAAAAGGAAAUUUCAAAAGAAAGUCUAUGUAAUUCUUAUGUGUCAAUGUACUGACAACUUUCACAGGCGGACAUCUACAGUAUAUUCAAAUCUAGCUUAGUCACAAACAAAGUGAUUUUCUUGGUUUCUCUGUAUCUCAUAGAGUAAGUCUUUCUAUAUGAUAAAAUGACCUCACAAUUCAAUAUAAUUGAUACACUUAGGCUCAGGACUGGAUAAUCAUGAUUGGUACACCGGAAGAGCUGUAUGAAGAAUUUUAUAGAAUAUCUCAGUAUGCCACGCUGGAGUCUGUAGUAUUGAUCCCAUGCUUCAUUGUAUGCCUGAUCCUACUGUCCCUGUGCACACAAAGCUGCCAUUGUGCUUAGUGGAAUUAUGUAUACGUAAAGAUAGAAAG